rnacentral:rRNA from 1 species
UCUGACCCCAUGCCGAACUCAGAAGUGAAACGCCGUAGCGCCGAUGGUAGUGUGGGGUCUCCCCAUGCGAGAGUAGGGAACUGCCAGGC